AAGGCAUGAUACGGGCACUUCCUAAGCUGUUCUUUAAAUCACCCUCAAGUUUUAUAUAUUAUUUCUCCAUCUAAUUGAGUGAAUGAAGUGAUGUAAUUCCUAAGUUU